rnacentral:tRNA from 1 species
AAAUAGAAAGCAAUUUGCAAUCAGUUUCGACCUGACAAUUGACGUUAUCAAUGUCUCUAUUUA